rnacentral:rRNA from 1 species
GAACGGAACCUUUCGGGGUUUAGUGGCGGACGGGUGAGUAACGCGUGAGAAUCGGCCCUCAGGUUGGGGACAACCAUUGGAAACGGUGGCUAAUACCGAAUAAGCCGAAAGGUGAAAGAUUAAUUGCCUGGGGAAGAGCUCGCGUCUGAUUAGCUAGUUGGUGGGGUAAAGGCCUACCAAGGCACCGAUCAGUAACUGGUCUGAGAGGAUGGCCAGUCACACUGGGACUGAGACACGGCCCAGACUCCUACGGGAGGCAGCAGUGGGGAAUUUUCCGCAAUGGGCGAAAGCCUGACGGAGCAAUACCGCGUGGGGGAGGAAGGCUCUUGGGUCGUAAACCUCUUUUCUCAGGGAAGAAAUAAAUGACGGUACCUGAGGAAUCAGCAUCGGCUAACUCCGUGCCAGCAGCCGCGGUAAUACGGAGGAUGCAAGCGUUAUCCGGAAUGAUUGGGCGUAAAGCGUCCGCAGGUGGCAGUGUAAGUCUGCUGUCAAAGGUCAGGGCUUAACCCUGAACAGGCAGUGGAAACUACACAGCUAGAGUGCGGUGGGGGCAGAGGGAAUUCCCAGUGUAGCGGUGAAAUGCGUAGAGAUUGGGAAGAACACCGGUGGCGAAAGCGCUCUGCUAGGCCGUAACUGUCACUCAUGGACGAAAGCUAGGGGAGCGAAUGGGAUUAGAUACCCCAGUAGUCCUAGCCGUAAACGAUGGAUACUAGGCGUAGCUCGUAUCGACCCGAGCUGUGCCGUAGCUAACGCGUUAAGUAUCCCGCCUGGGGAGUACGCUCGCAAGAGUG